AAAGAGGCAAUAUUUAUCUUUAAAAUUCUCAAUAAAGUUCUUCUAUCUUCCUAUCCAUCUCUGUCCCACUUUGCUAAUAUCUAAUCUUGUUACUUUGUCCUACCUUAGGUGUCACUGAGAAGAAGUAUUUUUCUUUUAAAAAACAUUUUUUUUUUUUUUUGCUUUUUAGGGCCGCAUCCAUGGCAUAUGGAGGUUUCCAGGCCACAGCCACAGCCACAGCCAUGCAGAAUCCAAGCUGCGUCUGUGACCUAUACCACAGCUCACAGCAACACCAGAUCCUUAAUCCAAUGAGUGAGGCCGGGGAUCGAACCCGCAACUUCAUGGUUACUAGUCAGAUUUGUUUCCGCUGUGCCACAAUGGGAACUACAUCUUUUAAAAAACACAAAAAGCCUUUCUAAUAACUACAAUGCUGAGGACCUGAGGUAUUUUGCUUUCUAGGAUAAAAGAGGGACAAAAGAGAAGGCAAAGUAUAACUUAAAAGUUAUAAUUACUGAAGGGAUAAUUUCAUAGACUAUGGGUGGAAUAUUUUUUGUGCCCACCAGUUCAACUACAGAAAUAAUUAAAUUCCUUUAUGCAUAAAUGCAGUCCUUGGGUUAUUACAUGCAAGUUUUGUUAUGUUCUCUUUUUCAAAAUUUAUUUUGAGGUUCCUCGUUCUUUGAAUUUCUAUAUAGAACUUAGUUCAUCAAUUUCUAUACACAUUCCUUAUAGAAUUAGGAUUCAGGAUUAUGUAGAAUAUAUGGAUAAUAUGGGAAUUAUUGAUGUCUUACCAAUAUUGAGAUUUUUUUAUCCAUGAACAAGAUAUAUAAUUCAAUUUAUUAUUAUCUUAUUUAAUUUCUAUUAUUAAUAUUUUGUCAUUUUAGCAGAGAGGACUUAUAUAUAUUUUAAAAAUUGAUAUUUAAUCUUAAAAAUCAUAUUAAAUAUUAACAUUUGACAUUUAAUUUCACACUUAUUAACCUUGUAUCCUUAUUCAUUGUUAAAUUCACUUAUUAGUUCUUGCCAUAAUUAUAGAUGUAUAGGAUAACCUGUACUUCAGUGGAGACAAUUUUCUUCCUUUCUAAGAGUUUUGAAUCCAUUUCUUUUUGUUACUUUAGUAUAAUGGCCUGGACCUCCAGGACAAUACUGGAUAGCAAUUGUGAGUAGGCAUUCUUGCCUUGUUCUUAUGCUACAAGGGAAAACAUGCACACUUGCACCAUUAGGUACAAUAUUAUGUUUUCUGUAAAUGUUUUUUAUCAACUCAAGGGUAAUUUUCUGAGAGGUUUUUUUUUCGGGGGGAAUGGGGUUGGAUUUUUGUCAAAUGUUUUUUCUUAAUCUAUAGAAAUUAUCAUAUGGCUUUACCCCUUUAAUCCUAUUAUAUGCUGAUUUACAUUGAUUUUAUUCAUAAAACAUUGAUUAAUUUUCCUUAUAAAACAUUCCUGGAUAAAACAUACUCAGCUACAAUGUAUAAUCCUUUUUAUAUAUUGAUAAAUUCAGUUUGUUUUUAUCCAUACAGACAAUCUCUGCCUUUCCUUUUCCUUUCUGUCUUCUUUUGUGUUAAAUUGAAUGUUGUUAGCAAGUAGUAAUCAGGAAGUCAUUGCAAUAGUCCAGACAAAGGCUAGGAUCAGGUGGAAUUGGAGAAAAGGAUCAAACUUUAGAUAGAUUUUUGAGGUAGAAAUGAUAAUUCUUACACAUGGAUUAUAUACGUGUGUGUGUGUUUGUGUAUGGCAAAUAAUACUAAAAGUAACUAUUACUUUUACAUAUAUAGCAAGUAAUAUUAAAAUUAAGUAUUUGAAUAAACCUGCUUGGAACAUAAUAAGUGCUCAAGAGAUGUUAGUUUACUCUUUUAUAUACCCUUAAUAUACAUCUUCAACUCCAGCUAGACUAGUCUCCUAACUGUCCCCUCAAACAUACUAUGUUCAUUCAUGCCUUUGUUUGUCUUUGCUCAUGUUCAAUUUCUACCUCUUCCAUUAAGUUGCCUAUUCUAAUAAGUCACCAAUAAAUAAUAAAAAAAUUAGUGCACAUUUAAAAAUAACCAUGUAUACCCCAUAACAUUGUAAGAGGAGCUUUCCCAACAAAAGGGUCUCAAUAUGUUUGAGAAAUAAGGCUAAGAUAGAAACAAAGUCCAUUAAAUCUAAGAUUGUGGGUUAACUGUGGUAGGAAGGGGGCAGUGAGCAAAGCACAAAGCUCUGUUUCUAAGAGAGAGAAAUCAAUCUCAUGUUUAAAAGACUAAUCUUUGACUCUGAGUAUAAACCCAUUAACCCUCAGGAAAAUCUCCUUCCCCAUUCCUCUAGAUUACAAGGCAAUGGCAGCCUACACAACAUUCCCUGCCUACCUGCAAAUGUAAAUUCUUUUCAGUGACCAUCAUAGCUGUUCCUAUGGAGGUCAAUGGAUAAAGGAGCUUCUCCUACAGGGUUGAAACAGGGAACAUGAAGGACAAUGAAAAGCUUUCCAAGUUACAGGUGCAAUACUGUCUGAUGAAUUCAUUCCAUUUAUCGGAAUAUCGAGCCCUUUGCAUUCCUGUCCAGUGGGAUGGGAAAUAUGCUAUGAAUCAACAUUUUGUUUACUAUCAUCCCAUUUUCUGAAUGAGAAGUUUUAUUGGUUAUUUCAGUCUUCCCUAGAUCAUAUACCACAUGCAUUGGGAAUGGAUAAAUUAUCAUUUUUAGGAUAUGUCACCACAAUAUGAAGUAGCUAUCUCUAGGCUUGAUAGCAAGAACAGUAUAUAACCCAGAGAUACUGGACUUGGUUAAGUUUCAAUAAAUGGAUAAGAUAUUGAACCAUUUCCCUUGGAUGGGGGAUGUGAGUAUGUUUCAUGUACAUUUUAGGCUAAGUUCAUAAAAAGGAAAGUAUACAUUCAUGUUGGAUAACCAGAAGGAUAUUUCUUAGUGGAUAAUAUGGUUGCCUUCCAAAUACUCAUUUGUCAUCCCCAAUAGUUGAGCAGCCAUAGACCAUCUCUGAUUAUUGUCAGUUGUCAGAGCAGCUGCAUUUUGCAAAAGAAAUGAAGAUGGUGAGAAGGAUGAAGAUUUGCAGAUAGCAGAAUACCCUACUAAAAUAAGGAUCGCAUAUGACAUCAUUAUUAGUCUUCAUUCUGAUUUGCUUAUCAAAGUAGCCCUGAAGGAGAAAGUGUUCUCUUACAAAUGGAAUGUAGGUCCAGAAAAUUUUGAUAGGAAUCAAGGGGAAAGUAAAUGUGCAGAUCAUGUACUAUUACCAAUAAAGAUGUUUUUAGAUGAGUUCUGAUCUCCUCUACUCUCGUGCCUUCAUAUCACUAACAUCUGUGAUUUUUAAACCUGUAUUACUAAUAAAGUCCUCUAAUGAAAUGAUUUGCUUUUGUGUCUAUAAAUACUAAUAGUCUACAACUGGUUGACAGAAGAGAACAUGAGUUAUUUAUUUGCUUUGUGCCAGCAUCUAACUCUCUGCCCGGAUUAUAAUAGAUAAUCAUUUCCUGACUGAAUGAAUUAAUAAAAUGCUUGGUUAGCUUGGAAGGCAAUCUAGGGAUACAGCGAAAGGGAGGAAAAGAAACUAGAAAAAACCAAGGAUGGGGGAGAGGUUUGAAGUGAUGGGGAAAUACCAAUUUUGCUUAAUAUUUGGCCAAAGAUUGACCUUAGGAGUAAGAAGAGAACUGGACUGAAAAGAUGUGUGGCUUUCCAAAAACUGUCUUUAGCUAAAUGGAUCUAAAAACCAAGGUUCUGAUCCCGUGUCAUUCUAGCAUGUGGCAUCACUUUAGAUUUUCAAAGUUAGCCUUUAGUGUCUUAUUUUCAUUCAGGCAUUUUCCCCUGACUUUGGGUGUCUGCUUUCCAGCAAAAGGUGAAAACUGAGUUUCGUUGCAUAUGCUCAAGUGUUAGUCUACCCUACCCUCAC
rnacentral:lncRNA from 1 species